CAAGUCGGACGGGAUAGGGGAGCUUGCUCCCCUUGAGAGUGGCGCACGGGUGCGUAACACGUAUGUAACCUACCCUUGUCAGGGGGAUAGCCUCUCGAAAGAGAGAUUAAGCCCGCAUAACAUUAACCCAUAGCAUUAUGGGAUAAUCAAAUAUUUAUAGGACAGGGAUGGGCAUGCGGAACAUUAGCUAGUUGGUAAGGUAAGGGCUUACCAAGGCUACGAUGUUUAGGGGAUCUGAGAGGAUGGCCCCCCACACUGGUACUGAGACACGGACCAGACUCCUACGGGAGGCAGCAGUAAGGAAUAUUGGUCAAUGGGCGGAAGCCUGAACCAGCCAUGCCGCGUGCAGGAAGACGGCCCUACGGGUUGUAAACUGCUUUUGCAGGGGAAUAAACCUCCAUAUGUAUAUGGAGUUGAAUGUACUCUGAGAAUAAGGAUCGGCUAACUCCGUGCCAGCAGCCGCGGU
rnacentral:rRNA from 1 species